GUCUACUUGAGAUGAUUCAUGAUAACUGAUCGAAUUGCUGGUCUACCGGCAAUAAGUCAUUCAUGUUUCUGCUUCCCAUCAGCUUGAUGGUAGUGUAUUGGACAACCAUGGCAUUCACGGGCUAUCGGGGGAUUAGGGUUCGAUUCCGGAGAGGGAGCCUGAGAAACGGCUACCACUUCUACGGAAGGCAGCAGGCGCGAAAAUUAUCCAAUCCUGAUUCAGGGAGGUAGUGAAACAAAUAAUGAACUAGGAUUUAUCCUGGGGUCACAAUGGGCUUGAUUUGCAAACUUUAUUUAGCGAGGAACAAUUGGAGGGCAAGUCUGGUGCCAGCAGCCGCGGUAAUUCCAGCUCCAAUAGUGUAUAUUAAUGUUCCUGCAGUUAUUCGAUGCUCGUAGUUGGAUUUCUGGAGGCUGAGAUCGGAGGGUAGCCAAGGUUACCGCUGAACUCUUCCUUCAUCCACCUGUUAACGUUGUCCGGGAUUCGUUUCUCGGCUUCGGGCUCAGGCAUAUACUUUUACCCUUUUUCUAUAUUUAUUGUUUUGAGUAAAUUAUAGUGUUUCAGGCAGGCGUGCGCCGGAAUACUUUAGCAUGGAAUAAUCGAAUUGGACCGUGUAUUCUUAUUGAAUUCUUCCUUAUUGUUGGUUCAAGGACACGGAAAUGGUUAAUAGGGAUAGUGUUUUUAUUAUCAGGGGAGGCAUUAGUAUUUAAUUUCCAGAGGUGAAAUUCUUUGAAAUAUUAAAGACUAACUUAUGCGAAAGCAUUUAUUAUUGCCAAUAAUGUUUUCAUUAAUCAUUGAACGAAAGUUAGGGGAUCAAAGACGAUCAGAUACCGUCCUAGUCUUAACCAUAAACGUUGCCGACUAGGGAUCGGAGGGCGUGCACAUUCCGCCUUCGGCACCUUACGAGAAAUCAAAGUCUUUUGGGUUCUGGGGGUAGUAUGGUCGCAAGGCUGAAACUUAAAGGAAUUGACGGAAGGGCACCACCAGGAGUGGAGCUUGCGGCUCAAUUUGACUCAGCACGGGAAAUCUUACCAGGUCCAGACAUAGCGAGGAUUGACAGAUUGAUAGCUCUUUCUUGAUUCUAUGGGUAUUUUAUAUAUAUUUUGGUGGUGCAUGGCCGUUCUUAGUUGGUGGAGUGAUUUGUCUGGUUAAUUCCGUUAAACGAACGAGACCUCAGCCUGCUAAAUAGUUACCUGUCUUUUCAUUUUUG
rnacentral:rRNA from 1 species